rnacentral:rRNA from 1 species
CGGGUGAGUAACGCGUGAGGAACCUGCCUCAAAGAGGGGGACGACAGUUGGAAACGACUGCUAAUACCGCAUAAGCCCACGGCUCGGCAUCGAGCAGAGGGAAAAGGAGUGAUCCGCUUUGAGAUGGCCUCGCGUCCGAUUAGCUAGUUGGUGAGGUAACGGCCCACCAAGGCGACGAUCGGUAGCCGGACUGAGAGGUUGAACGGCCACGUUGGGACUGAGACACGGCCCAG